rnacentral:rRNA from 1 species
UACAGGGGGGGCAAGCGUUGUUCGGAAUUACUGGGCGUAAAGGGCUCGUAGGCGGCCAACUAAGUCAGACGUGAAAUCCCUCAGCUUAACUGGGGAACUGCGUCUGAUACUGGAUGGCUUGGAUUCGGGAGAGGAAUGCGGAAUUCCAGGUGUAGCGGUGAAAUGCGUAGAUAUCUGGAGGAACACCGGUGGCGAAGGCGGCAUCCUGGACCGGCAUUGACGCUGAGGCGCGAAAGCCAGGGGAGCAAACGGG